rnacentral:rRNA from 1 species
GAUGAACGCUGGCGGCGUGCCUAAUACAUGCAAGUCGAGCGAACAGAUGAGGAGCUUGCUCCUCUGACGUUAGCGGCGGACGGGUGAGUAACACGUGGAUAACCUACCUAUAAGACUGGGAUAACUUCGGGAAACCGGAGCUAAUACCGGAUAAUAUAUUGAACCGCAUGGUUCAAUAGUGAAAGACGGUUUUGCUGUCACUUAUAGAUGGAUCCGCGCCGCAUUAGCUAGUUGGUAAGGUAACGGCUUACCAAGGCAACGAUGCGUAGCCGACCUGAGAGGGUGAUCGGCCACACUGGAACUGAGACACGGUCCAGACUCCUACGGGAGGCAGCAGUAGGGAAUAUUCGGCAAUGGGCGAAAGCCUGACGGAGCAACGCCGCGUGAGUGAUGAAGGUCUUCGGAUCGUAAAACUCUGUUAUUAGGGAAGAACAAAUGUGUAAGUAACUAUGCACGUCUUGACGGUACCUAAUCAGAAAGCCACGGCUAACUACGUG